UGGCUAAUCUUUUUUCUUUCAUGUAAUAUCUGUUACCAUCUUGUGGAUCUUUGGGAGAUGCUGGUAUGGAUAUAUUCUCACCUAAUGAGCUGAAGGACGUUGACUGCUCCUAUUCUGAUGAAGCCUCUGAAACUAGGGUGGUGCUUUCCCUGGAUGUGUUGCUGAGUCUUAAGCAAAGUAGAACGGUAUUUUCUGAUUAG